rnacentral:lncRNA from 1 species
UUUUUUUUUCCCUGAAGUGUUGGCCAUUUGUAUCUCUUAUUUUGAGAACUAGCUGUGCAUUUGCUCAUUUAUUGAAAAGGUUUUUGUUUUUCUGGUGUUAAGAUAUUUGCAUUAAUAUUUUUAGGAUAUUAAUCCUCUGUCAGAAGAAUAGCUGGCAAAGCUUUUCUCCAUUUCUGGAGGCUACCACUUCUUACUCUUUUGUGUUUCACUUACUAUGCAGGAAUUUUUCAGUUUGAUGCACCCUCUCUUAUCCAUUGUUGCUCUUAUUUUCUGAGCUGUAGGGGGCUCUAUUCAGGAAGUUAUUGCCUACAUACUGACGUGUUUUCCAUAUAUUUUCUUCUAGUAUUUGUAAACCUUCUAGUCUGGUACAUAUGUCUUUAGUCCUUUCUGAAUAAACUCUUGUACAGUGUUAGAAAAUAGGCAUCUAGAUUUCUUCUUUUACAUACGGAUAUCUAGUUUUUCCAACACUAUUUCUAAAAUGUUGUUUGUCUUUUCUCCAAAAUAUGUUUUUGGUGUCUUUGCCUAGUAUCACAUGACUGUACCCCUGGGUUUGCUCUCUGUCUUCUUUUCUAUCCAUUGGUCUAUGGGUCUUUCUUUACACCAGGACCAUGGUUUUUAUUACUAUGGCUCUGUUUUAUAUUUUGAAAUUGGGCAUUGUGGUUUAUCCAUUGUUUCUCUUAUGAUCAGUAUCAUUUUGUCUAAGUAUUUCUUUGUUUGUUUGUUUUUCUUCCAUACAAAUUUAGAAGUAGUUAUUUUCCCCCCAUUUCUGCAACAAUACCAUUUGAAUUUGAAUGGGAAUACAUGGAAUCUAUAAUUCAUUUAUGGUACUAUGCCCAUUUUCAGAAUAUUAAUUCUGCUUCUCUAUGAACAUAGCAGAUCUUUUUACUUCCUAUUGUUUUCUUAUUUUUUUUCUUCAAUGUGUAAUUUUUCUUGAAGAGGUCAUUCACUUUCUUGUUUAGGGUUAUUCCUAGCUAUUUUUAAAGUUAUUUGAAUGAGCUAUUACUCUUGCUUUAUUCUCUCUAGGUUUGCUAUGGUAUAUAGACAAACAGUUUACUUUUAUAUGUUUAUUUUAUAUCCUGUUACUCUGAUGAAUUCAUUCAUCAAAGUAGAAUUUUCAUAAUAUAUUAUGUUCUUCUAAGAAUUAGGACUAACUAAAUCAUUUGCAUAUAGAAAUAAUUUAACAUUUUAAUUUUCUUAUUUGAAUCCCUUUUAUUUCUUUCUCUUUUUCUAAAAUUUUAAGUACUGUGAUUAGUGAGAUUGGCGGCAAUGAAUGAACAUCCUUGUGUAUUUCCUGAUUUUAGAGAAAAUGUUCUUCUUUAUUUUACUAUUGGCUUUGGAUUUGGUAUACUUGGUCUUUAUUAUCUUUUAAUAAAAUUCUCCUAUUCUCUAAUCUCUCAGGGCUUUGUCAUGAGGGCCAUUGAAUUUGUCAAAGGCUUUUCCUGCAGCUUCUUAAAAGAUCAUGUAAUUUUGCUCUUGAUUCUAUGUGUGAUGUAUUAGUUUUAUUGAUUUGCAUGUAUUGAAUCAUCCUGGAUCAAAAUCAGCUUUUAUGGAUUUUUUUUUUUUUGUAUGUGACUAGAGUCUCAAACCAGGAGCAUGGUACGAAGGAAUCACAUCCCCAGGACCUUUUAUUGUUCACUUUGAUAACAGGUCUCACUAAAUUUCCCAGGCUGGCUUUGAAAUUACAGUGUUCUCAAACAACCUGAUGCUUUUCUGAGAGUAUAGACCUACACCACUAUGCCUGAUAUGUAUGUUAUUUUGUAAUGUGUUGUUGAAUGUGGUUUGCAAAGAUUUUAUGAGAAUUUUUAUACUAUGUUCCUCAAGGAUAUUGAUAUCUAGUUUUUUCUUGUUCUGUCCAAUAUUCACUUUUCCAGUCAGGGUAAUACUUUGCAGAAUUGCUUUGGAAGCAUCUUUCCUUUGCUCUUAAAUGUAAUGGGGGAUUAAUAUCAGUUCUUCUUUAAAUAUCUGAUAAAAUUUAGCCAUGUAUUCACCUCUGAACCUCUGGUCCAUAAGGCUUUUUAUUAUUGCUUCAACCUAAUUGCUUGUUAUUGAGCUAUGGUUUUCUCUAUCUGUUUGA